AGCAACAAGUGCAGGACAAGUCAUGCAGACGGGAGAAACCAUGAAAGUGAACAGCUUUUGACCCUUCAAAGAAAAGACCAUGCAGUUGCAGUCAAUGAAAUUGAGGCCCUGUAUGAUCUAUUCAAGAAACUAAGCAGUAGUACCAUACUUAAUGGUGGUCUUAUUUACAAGGGGCAUAACCCUGGCAUUUCCCAGCUUUCUGCUUCACUUGGAUUUUUAAGAGGAGAAAUGGAUGCUGAAAUGAUGUCCGACAGCAUAUAAGUUGUUUCCUGUUAGACGCUCAAUGCAUCAAGGGACAUGUUCUUUGGAGAACUUGGAGCAAUCGUGGUUGCAGCUGAAGUGGCAACAUUAUAUAUGUUGCAUAGGCUGGAGGUUACAAGAUUUCAAGAGUGCAUAUCAGCCGCUGCAAGAGCUUAGAGAAUCUAAACAUGGGGAAACCAAUCAGCCAGCACCUACUACCAAUCGAGUGGAAGAAUGGGAAGCUCCUCCAAGAGACUUUUUCAAGAUCAAUUGGGAAGCUGCUGGGGAUAGGCUACACUGCAAGGUGGUAUUCGGGUUGUUGUUCGAGAUUGGGAGGGCAAGGUUUUAGCCACAAUAAGGAAGAAGCAAGACUUGGUCCCAGACCCCCUAGUAGCAGAAACUUAUGCAGCUCUUCAAGCAGAUAUUUUUGGUGGUGAACUGGGCUUGAGAAGAAUAAUAUUAGAGGGAGCUGCAAGCAAAGUUGUGAAGGCUGUCCAAACUACUGUGGAAGAUUUGAACUUGUUUUGGAAUGCUAGUAUCAGACAUCAGACUCCAGCUGCAAAAUUUUGAACACUGGUAAAUCAGACACAUCCAUAGAGCCAAUAUAGUUGCUCACACUCUAGGCAAGAAUGCAUUAGGCAUUACAGAUUUUAUUGUUGACAUGGAGGAAACUCCUGAGUGCAUUCAAUCUCUGUUACAGAGUUUUUAAUCAAUGAAAUUUGCAUUAUUAUCAAGAAAACAAACUCCCAGCUCCAUUUUAUUCUGUUACAUUGUGAAUUAGUCAAUAGAGAGGAAAAAGAUGAAGUUGGAGAAAGAAGUCCCUGUAAUUUGCC